CGAGCGCAACCCCUAUCUUUAGUUGCCAUCAGUUCGGCUGGGCACUCUAUGGAGACUGCCACCUAAAGUGGAGGAAGGUGGGGAUGACGUCAAGUCAGCAUGGCCCUUACGUCCGGGGCUACACACGUGCUACAAUGGCCGGUACAAAGGGUUGCGAAGCCGUGAGGUGGAGCGAAUCUCAAAAAGCCGGCCUCAGUUCGGAUUGGAGGCUGCAACUCGCCUCCAUGAAGUCGGAAUCGCUAGUAACCGCAGAUCAGCUACGUUGCGGUGAAUACGUUCCCGGGCCUU
rnacentral:rRNA from 1 species